rnacentral:rRNA from 1 species
ACGAACGCUGGCGGCGUGCUUAACACAUGCAAGUCGAACGGAAAGGCCCUGCUUUUGUGGGGUGCUCGAGUGGCGAACGGGUGAGUAACACGUGAGUAACCUGCCCUUGACUUUGGGAUAACUUCAGGAAACUGGGGCUAAUACCGGAUAGGAGCUCCUGCUGCAUGGUGGGGGUUGGAAAGUUUCGGCGGUUGGGGAUGGACUCGCGGCUUAUCAGCUUGUUGGUGGGGUAGUGGCUUACCAAGGCUUUGACGGGUAGCCGGCCUGAGAGGGUGACCGGCCACAUUGGGACUGAGAUACGGCCCAGACUCCUACGGGUGGCAGCAGUGGGGAAUAUUGCACAAUGGGCGGAAGCCUGAUGCAGCAACGCCGCGUGCGGGAUGACGGCCUUCGGGCUGUAAACCGCUUUCGCCUGUGACGAAGCGUGAGUGACGGUAAUGGGUAAAGAAGCACCGGCUAACUACGUG